rnacentral:miRNA from 12 species
CAGCUAACAUGCUGCUGCUCUC